AGAGUUUGAUCCUGGCUCAGGAUGAACGCUAGCGGCAUGCUUAACACAUGCAAGUCGGAUGGGAUCUUUUAGACACCCAUGGCAGACGGCUGAGUAAUACGUAGGAAUUUGCCCUUGGGUCGAGCAUAACCUGUCGAAAGACAGGAUAAUUCUCGAUAGUCUCUUCGGAGUAAAAAUUUAUUGCCCAAGGAGAAGCCUGCGCCCGAUUAGCUUGUUGGUAAGGUAAUGGCUUACCAAGGCUAUGAUCGGUAGUUGGUCUGAGAGGAUGACCAGCCAGACUGGGACUGAGACACGGCCCAGACUCCUACGGGAGGCAGCAGUGAGGAAUAUUGCACAAUGGGCGAAAGCCUGAUGCAGCAAUGCCGCGUGCAGGAAGACGGCCUUCGGGUUGUAAACUGCUUUUAUUUGUGAAGAUUAUGACGUUAACAAAUGAAUAAGAACUUGCUAACUACGUGCCAGCAGCAGCGGUAAUACGUAGAGUUCAAGCGUUAUCCGGAUUUAUUGGGCGUAAAGCGCUCGCAGGCGGAUUGGUAAGUCGAAUAUUAAAGCCUCUAGCUUAACUAGAGAAAAGUGUUCGAAACUGCCUAUCUAGAGGUUGGUAGAGGCAAAUGGAAUUCUCGGUGUAGGGGUAAUAUCCGUAGAUAUCGAGAAGAACACCAAAGGCGAAGGCAAUUUGCUGGGCCAUACCUGACGCUCAGGAGCGAAAGCGUGGGGAGCGAACGGGAUUAGAUACCCCGGUAGUCCACGCCGUAAACGAUGGAUACUAGGCAUUGGAGGCAUCGGUCUCCUCAGUGCCGAAGCUAACGCGUUAAGUAUCCCGCCUGGGGAGUACGAUCGCAAGAUUAAAACUCAAAGGAAUUGACGGGGACCCGCACAAGCGGUGGAGCACGUGGUUUAAUUCGACAAUAAGCGGAGAACCUCACCAGGUCUUGCAUCCUGUUGAAAGUUUAUAGAAAUAUAAACCCUCCUUUAGGACAACAGUGACAGGUGCUGCACGGUUGUCGUCAGCUCGUGUCGUGAGAUGUUAGGUUAAGUCCUUUAACGAGCGCAACCCCUAUGUUGUGUUGUAUUUUUCACAACAGACUGCCUGGGUUAACCAGGAGGAAGGUGGGGAUGACGUCAAAUCAGCGUGGCCCUUAUGGCCUGGGCUACACACAUGCUACAAUGGCUGGGAACAAAGGGUUGCCAAACCGCAAGGUGGAGCUAAUCCCUAAAAACCAGCCCCAGUUCGGAUUGAAGGCUGCAACUCGCCUUCAUGAAGUUGGAAUCGCUAGUAAUCGUAGAUCAGCCAUGCUACGGUGAAUACGUUCUCGGGUCUUGUACACACCGCCCGUCAUACCACGAAAGUCAGAGGCACCCGAAACUCCAUUUUUUGGGACUAAGGUGAAGCUGAUGAUUGGGGUAAAGUCGUAACAAGGUA
rnacentral:rRNA from 1 species